rnacentral:rRNA from 1 species
AUUGAACGCUGGCGGCAGGCCUAACACAUGCAAGUCGAGCGGAUGAAGGGAGCUUGCUCCUGGAUUCGGCGGCGGACGGGUGAGUAAUGCCUAGGAAUCUGCCUGGUAGUGGGGGAUAACGUCCGGAAACGGGCGCUAAUACCGCAUACGUCCUGAGGGAGAAAGUGGGGGAUCUUCGGACCUCACGCUAUCAGAUGAGCCUAGGUCGGAUUAGCUAGUUGGUGGGGUAAAGGCCUACCAAGGCGACGAUCCGUAACUGGUCUGAGAGGAUGAUCAGUCACACUGGAACUGAGACACGGUCCCGACUCCUACGGGAGGCAGCAGUGGGGAAUAUUGGACAAUGGGCGAAAGCCUGAUCCAGCCAUGCCGCGUGUGUGAAGAAGGUCUUCGGAUUGUAAAGCACUUUAAGUUGGGAGGAAGGGCAGUAAGUUAAUACCUUGCUGUUUUGACGUUACCAACAGAAUAAGCACCGGCUAACUUCGUG